GACGAACGCUGGCGGCGUGCUUAACACAUGCAAGUCGAACGGAAAGGCCCUGCUUUUGUGGGGUGCUCGAGUGGCGAACGGGUGAGUAACACGUGAGUAACCUGCCCUUGACUUUGGGAUAACUUCAGGAAAGUGGGGCUAAUAUCGUAUAGGAGCUCCUGUUGCAUGGUGGGGGUUGGAAAGUUUCGGCGGUUGGGGAUGGACUCGCGGCUUAUCAGCUUGUUGGUGGGGUAGUGGCUUACCAAGGCUUUGACGGGUAGCCGGCCUGAGAGGGUGACCGGCCACAUUGGGACUGAGGUACGGCCCAGAGUCCUACGGGAGGCAGCAGUGGGGAAUAUUGCACAAUGGGCGGGCGCCUGAUGCAGAAACGCCGCGUGCGGAAUGACGGCCUUCGGGUUGUAAACAGCUUUCGCCUAUGACGAAGCGUGAGUGACGGUAAUGGGUAAAGAAGCACCGGCUAACUACGUG
rnacentral:rRNA from 1 species